GCCGCUGUAGCUCAGCUGGUAGAGCGCCGGCCUCGUAUCGUGGAGUGAGAGCCGGUGGUCGCGGGUUCAAAUCCCGCCGGCGGCU
rnacentral:tRNA from 1 species